rnacentral:rRNA from 1 species
AGUACGUUGACGUCCGUGGCACGAGACGACGCUGGCGGCGUGCCUAGCACAUGCAAGUCGAACGAAGCUUGAAUUCAGAUUUCUUCGGAAUGAAGAAUGAUAUGGACUGAGUGGCGGACGGGUGAGUAACGCGUGAGCAACCUGCCCGUUCGGACGGGGGAUAGUGUCUGGAAACGGACAGUAAUACCGCAUAACGAGUUUUUACCGCAUGAUAGAAAUACCAAAACUGAGGUGCCGAAGGAUGGGCUCGCGUUGGAUUAGAUAGUUGGUGGGGUAACGGCCUACCAAGUCAACGAUCCAUAGCCGGACUGAGAGGUUGAACGGCCACAUUGGGACUGAGACACGGCCCAGACGUCCUACGGGAGGCAGCAGUGGGGAAUAUUGCACAAUGGGGGAAACCCUGAUGCAGCAACGCCGCGUGAAGGAAGACGGUUUUCGGAUUGUUAAACUUCUGUUCUUAGUGAAGAAAAAUGACGGUAGCUAAGGAGCAAGCCACGGCUAACUACGUG